CCUACGGGGGACAGCAGUGAGGAAUAUUGGUCAAUGGGCGGAAGCCUGAACCAGCCAAGUCGCGUGAGGGAAGACGGCCCUACGGGUUGUAAACCUCUUUUGUCGGGGAGCAAAGCGAGUCACGUGUGCCCCAUUGAGAGUACCCGAAAAAAAAGCAUCGGCUAACUCCGUGCCAGCAGCCGCGGUAAUACGGAGGAUGCGAGCGUUAUCCGGAUUUAUUGGGUUUAAAGGGUGCGUAGGCGGUCGGAUAAGUUAGAGGUGAAAUCCCGAGGCUCAACCUCGGAAUUGCCUCUGAUACUGUUCGGCUAGAGAGUAGUGGCGGUAGGCGGAAUGUAUGGUGUAGCGGUGAAAUGCUUAGAGAUCAUACAGAACACCGAUUGCGAAGGCAGCUUACCAAGCUACUUCUGACGUUGAGGCACGAAAGCGUGGGGAGCAAACAGGAUUAGAUACCCCAGUAGUC
rnacentral:rRNA from 1 species